rnacentral:rRNA from 1 species
AUUGAACGCUGGCGGCAGGCCUAACACAUGCAAGUCGAGCGGAUGAAGGGAGCUUGCUCCUGGAUUCAGCGGCGGACGGGUGAGUAAUGCCUAGGAAUCUGCCUGGUAGUGGGGGAUAACGUCCGGACACGGGCGCUAAUACCGCAUACGUCCUGAGGGAGAAAGUGGGGGAUCUUCGGACCUCACGCUAUCAGAUGAGCCUAGGUCGGAUUAGCUAGUUGGUGGGGUAAAGGCCUACCAAGGCAACGAUCCGUAACUGGUCUGAGAGGAUGAUCAGUCACACUGGAACUGAGACACGGUCCAGACUCCUACGGGAGGCAGCAGUGGGGAAUAUUGGACAAUGGGCGAAAGCCUGAUCCAGCCAUGCCGCGUGUGUGAAGAAGGUCUUCGGAUUGUAAAGCACUUUAAGUUGGGAGGAAGGGCAGUAAGUUAAUACCUUGCUGUUUUGACGUUACCAACAGAAUAAGCACCGGCUAACUUCGUG